GGAGUUGUAGCUCAGUGGUUGAGCAUUUGCCUCACAUGCAUGAGGCACAAGGUUGGAUCCUCAGCACCA
rnacentral:tRNA from 1 species